rnacentral:rRNA from 1 species
AACACAUGCAAGUCGAACGAAGCAAUUAAGAUGAAGUUUUCGGAUGGAAUCUUGAUUGACUGAGUGGCGGACGGGUGAGUAACGCGUGGAUAACCUGCCUCACACUGGGGGAUAACAGUUAGAAAUGACUGCUAAUACCGCAUAAGCGCACAGUGCCGCAUGGCAGUGUGUGAAAAACUCCGGUGGUGUGAGAUGGAUCCGCGUCUGAUUAGCCAGUUGGCGGGGUAACGGCCCACCAAAGCGACGAUCAGUAGCCGACCUGAGAGGGUGACCGGCCACAUUGGGACUGAGACACGGCCCAAACUCCUACGGGAGGCAGCAGUGGGGAAUAUUGCACAAUGGGCGAAAGCCUGAUGCAGCGACGCCGCGUGAGUGAAGAAGUAUUUCGGUAUGUAAAGCUCUAUCAGCAGGGAAGAAAAUGACGGUACCUGACUAAGAAGCCCCGGCUAACUACGUGCCAGCAGCCGCGGUAAUACGUAGGGGGCAAGCGUUAUCCGGAUUUACUGGGUGUAAAGGGAGCGUAGACGGCGAAGCAAGUCUGAAGUGAAAACCCAGGGCUCAACCCUGGGACUGCUUUGGAAACUGUUUUGCUAGAGUGUCGGAGAGGUAAGUGGAAUUCCUAGUGUAGCGGUGAAAUGCGUAGAUAUUAGGAGGACACCAGUGGCGA